GGCGCGCGGGAGGGUGACUUGGAAGGGUCUUUACGAACCCUAGGGAAAGGCGGUCUGGUAGUAAGUCCAUUUCAAGACCUUUUAAAGUGAGACCUGCAUAUGUUGAAAGAGUUUUAGAGAGUGAAGCUGGGUCCUUAGAAGCUGGAAUGUCCCAGCAGAAUGUAGAAGUGCGAAAAAUUUGGCAAAGUACUCUAAACUGAUCCUUUCUGUGAGUCACCAGGCUGGUGAGGAAGAAUCUCUGGCAACAGUGUAUCUAUUAACAUAUAGCUUCUGUGUUUAUCAGGCCCAGUUCUGGUGAUGAUUUCACUUUUGACAGAAGCUGUCCCUCAAAAGCAAACAUGCAAUAGAAGAAACAGAUCUCAAAGCAGUUUUGGUAUCCUGAAGCUGGAGCAAAAUGCGACAAAGUGAAGAAGUUCCUACUGACUGGGCACACAGUCAAAUGUAUGUCACCAAGACUGGGGGUUCAGUCACAUGCUGUUCUUCUUUGAUUAAAAAACUCAUUAAUCUGACUAUCAUAAAGGCAGAUCCUCAAUGUUUUCUGUUUUUACCUUAUGGGUUCACAUGUCCACAUAGUAACUUUUAUAGACCCAGCUAAUUCUGAAACUUAAGUAUCCACAAGAUCAAAGCAGAAACCUUUAAGUCUGUUUUACAAACUUGCUUACCCUUCUGUAUAGUUUAGAGACUGAAAUAGAGAAGGACUACGGGAGGGGAAAGUGGUAGCAGCUUAGUCUUAAAGACUUUUAAGUUGGAACAAAAUAGCCUAUCCCUGCAGUAGAUCUGACUUGCCUAUGGAAUGGGAAAAAAAGAUACAUUAUUAGUACUUUUGACACAAUAUUUUGGGGUAGGAUAUACAGCAAAAUGAUUAUAAGCAUGGUCUCUGGAGACAGAUGACUCAGGUUGAAAUCCUGGCUCCAGUUACUUGUGUGUGCUCUUGAGCAAGUUUGUUCCCUCAGUUUUCUCAGCUAUUAUGUGAGAUAAUAAUAGUAUGUAUGUCUUAAAAUUGUUGAGGAUUAAACAAGUUAAUACACGUAAACACAGUUACAUACUCAGUACCUGUAAGCUACAAUUAUUUACUUUUCAAAAGUGACAUACAGCAGGUAAGAGGUUAGUGUAGUCAUACAUUAAUGAGGUUACUAAAAACAUUUUCAAAACCUUUUACCAUACCACCACAGACAGUAUAAUUGAAGGGUGAUAUCAGUAGCAUCAGAGAAUCAAGUAAUGGGAUACUGAUAGGGACAGUAUUGUGAGAAUAUGAAAGGAAUCUCUAUAGACUUCAAGAUGAGAAUUUAAAAAUUUUAAAUUCCCUCCCUAGCAUAUAUGGUUACUAUAGCCCUAUGGCAAAGUAUCAGAGUAAUUUAUGCUUGUAGCCUCAUGGGCUCAUUAAUAUAUAGCAGAUGUGCUUUACUUACCAAGCUCUGGUUGUCUGGCAGCAUGACAAUGAUCUGUGCGUUAUGAUCCCAAAUCAUUCGCCAGAAAUCUUUCGUAGUAUGUGGCAGAGGAUGCUGAGUUAUAAUAAAUUCAUUGCUCCUAUAAUAGCCCUUCAGUUGGGAAGACAAAAAAAAAUCAGUGAAUAUGAAUGUUUUAUUUUAACUUUGUGGUAGUAAAAUAUAUUCGUGAAAUAAGAUAGCAUUGUUUUGACUACACUAAAAUAAUUGGGAAAGGCAUUCAGUACAUUUGGCUAAUUUUUAGAUGUACUUCUGCUAGCAUUGUGCAGACAAAUUUCUCUCCAUGUGCAGUUCACUUCUAGUUACCCCUGCUGUUUUCACUUAACAGAAAUUUCAACAUUUAUUCAAAGACUAGAUGUGUGAAAUUAACAAUAAAAUUAAUUCCUGAAGAAGCAUUCUGCUUAAUUUAAGCAUUUUUGUACCCCCAAAAAGUUUCCAGAUACAGAAAUCUCUCUACUUUUCGUAUUACACAUUGAGAAAUUAUUUCAAAAAUGACAUCAGUCACACAGGUGGUAUCUGCUCUUUAACACCUUUCAGUUUAAUUGACUUUAUUUAUAAUUAACUGUUGACUCUCACCAUGAUAUAAGAAGCAUUAAUGUAAUCUGUUCCUUUCAUUCCAGGCAAUGGUGCAAGACCCACUCGAGCACGCUCAGCUAUCAUAUGGAAAAAACAAAAACACCACAUUUGCCUUAUUAUACACACAGAACCAACAGCUCUUUCUGAGAUUUGCUUGAUGAAUAACAUAUCCUCCUGGCUUCCCUUUCUAAGACUUAUCUAUAUUUUUAAACAAGCUCAAGUGUUAUCAGCUGAGGCAGAAUGUAAAAUGAAAUUUUGCUGCACAUACCCAGAAGGACCCAGGCAUUGUAGGAAUACAGUUUUACUGUGGGAGAGAUUUUUACAGCAGAUCAGUAACAGAAUACUUUAUAUGGACAUGACAUAGGGUUUUAGAUAACUUUUGACUCUAAUUUGUUAUUCCUACAAUUAUACCAACAUAUACUCUGCCCUUUUACCAA